GUCAAAUUCAAUAACCUUGUUUGGGUUUGGAAUCCUAGCUUGCCUACAUAUUUUAGCAGGGAAUAUUGUUAGAGUCAAGAUUUGGUUAAGCCAUUUAACAACACAUGCUGGCCUAUUUAAAAGAGGAUAUUAGAUAAAUUAAUGGAUGUAUUCUGAACUGCAAGCAGCUGGUCUGAUUAUUAUGUGACUCAUUGGUCUCUAUCCUUCUAGGGUUAACUAGUGAGAAAUCAAUAUUACCCAGGACCUAUAACUUAUGAUGCCCAGGAGAUAUUCAGGUUACUCUGAGAAUAUCCCUGAAGAUCGCUAAGUAAAAUAUGAGCAGGGGCAUUAGACUGGCAAGAUGGAACUCUCCUUAGAGGGUAGGAGAGAAGAUGAUGCUGAGUGACCAAGCCAAUACUUUUUUAGAAGUGGAGAGUGAAAAGUUUUCCCGACACACUGCCCAUCUUUAAUGUGCAUAAUGCAUGAUGUGGUAAAAGGAACUGUCGAGAACAAUUCAAUCACAUUAAAAAUAUCCCGCAGAAAGUAUCCAUCACAUGGUUUGCAAAGUUUGUGGCUUCAUCCAAAUUGACCAUUCUUAUGAGGUUACCCUGGAGAUGUUUCCAGAGAAUUAUCAUGGUUGUUGUGUAUUCAUGCAUUGGGAUCUAAGUGUAUAAGAAGAGCACAAUCCUAGAUUUGAGCUGGAGUAUUGCCCAGGACAAAGGCAUAUCUUCAGGGGAAUCUGGAUUUCUUAUAUGGUCAAGUAAAAGAGUGUGGGCAGAUGGAGGCCAGUGUUUCUGUAAGGUAGCCACAUACAGCCUGGAGCACAGACUCUUUGAAACUGUCUUGUGGGAGCUUGUGGGUCCUCAUUUAUCAUCUGGAUGUGGUCACAGGAGCCAGCAGAAGUGAAAAUAGAACUCUUUCCAAGUCACUGGAAACCCCGCAGGAGUCCUUGGUAACAAAUGGGAAACAGCAGUGCUAGAAAAUGGAUUUCUUUUAAAGGCAAACACUCCAGGAGUCAUUAAAAAGUUUCCAUUUUCAAGCUCUGUCAUAAAAUGACUUUCCCCCCCUCCAGAACAUAUACAAAUUAUCCACAUUGUCAGCAGGUAUAUUAAAGUUAAGUUAGAUGUUUGCAUUUUGUAAUAUUUGGAAAAAUCAUUUCUUUUACUAAAUUCUGUGCAAACAAAGCUACUUCC
rnacentral:lncRNA from 1 species